AAAUAGUCAUUUUAUUUGUUGGUUUUAUAUCCUAAAUGAACUUUAAUGCUUCUAAUUACUUAAGUAUUAUGAACCAUGUAUUAAAAUAGGAAACAAUUGAAGGUUCCAAAAUAUCCAUCUUUAUUUUCUCUUUUAAUAAUUCUAUCAAUUUUGGAAGCAAAGCUCUAAGAACAAGUAUAGGCUUUAAAUUCCAUGGAAUAUGUGGCAUUGUAAAGAUUAUCAUAGAUAUUAGAAUAUUAAGGUUCAUAUAUCUAAUCUCAUUAGGAGUUAAGACAAAUGCCUUACCAUGUUCAAUAAGUAUUUUAUGAAAUAUAUUUUCUUCUAUUGAUGUCAAGAAAUCACCCCCUCCAAUCUUCAACUUAAAUAAUGUUGCUUGAAUAAAUUGAUGUCCAAUUCUACACUUCUCUCUUAAACUUAUCUUCUCAACUGCCUGCUCAAUAUGUUCUAUAGUAUCAAUUAGUAAUUAAAUAGCUAUAGAUUCUAUUUUUCUUACAUUAGUUUUAUAUUUAAUUUGAACUCUAGCCUUAUAUUUCAAUCCAUAACUUAUAACAAAUCU
rnacentral:lncRNA from 1 species